GAACUGCAGCGAGUCAGGCCCCCCACCCUGCUCUUUGUCUGAGAUGGAGGAUGGCCACUCCACCUUAGACACGCUUUCCCCGCUGCCUUCUUUUCCGGUCCUGAAUCUCUCCGCCAGCCCAUCCUCCCCUGAGGGGGCCACAUUCCACGGGGAAGGUGUCAGCCCGUUCCUGCUGAGGGGGAGGCGUGGGUCUGAAGCAAUGUCUACUCCUUCUCCCAGUUCCGCCUCUGGGGACGAGGACCCCAACCCGGCCCCUCCCCAGAAACCGCUCUCCUUGAGAGCCCCCUCCCCUCGGGAGGGGAGCCCUGCGGGGAAGAGGGAGAAUUGGAAACCCGAUCUGUUGCAUGUUAUAGAAAAAAGAAUGUUAUAACUACACCGAAGUCUACUAUGCUACAUUUGAUCAUGACCAUUUUCUGAACUGAAUUUCCUUGAAGAGAGAAAACCUUCAAACUUGAGUUUCCCAACAGAAGAACAAGAUAACUGAAGUUUUGAAACAGAAGAAGAUCAGCCAAAUUUCUGUGAAGAACAUCUCAUUGCUUUGCUUUGUAUUAUGAAAUAAACUGUAGUUGUAUUAAUAAAAGAAAUGUUAAAUUGUUAAAAAAAUAGUAACCAGGAGCCAAUUGGUUUUUAAUCAAUUUAAUACCAUACCUUCAAGUUUUAAAUCAUAAGUUUUGAGUCAAAAUGAAAAGAAAAUUUAUAUUUAUUUAACAUGAAAUAAAUUUGUUUGUUUUACACAUUUAACUCCUGGAAACUAUGAAACAUCUUUCUAUGGAACAUCCUUUUAUGAAAUGGUAAGCUUUCUAUGAAAUGUUAAAUUCUUUUUAAGUUUGCCACUUUUGAGUUUUUGUUUGACAAUUUAAAACAAUUUUUUAAUUACCUUUUGAGCCCAAUUUUUACCAGCUAAUUAUUCAAAAAUUAAGAUAUUAUUUCGCAGUGAAUUGAAGAAAUGAAUAAAAUUAUAGUUAAAGUGCAUAAUCAGUGAAAAACAAGACAAGUACAAGCUAAAUUAGACAUAUCCAAAAUUAUUUGAGUUUUUGAAAAAUUUUUAAAUUAUAAUUAGUUUUAUUUUACGUUUGUAAAAUUUUAUGAUUUAUUACACUAAUACCUUUUGUUCUUUUAGAUAAACUUUAAUGCCCUUUUUGUAUUUAAGAACGGGCAGAUGUUGUAUUGUGCUUUUUGGUUUAUUAGUAGGUUUAUGGUUUGAUUUGUGAUUUGGUGGUUUUCCUUGGUGCUGUUUUCCUUUUGUCUCCGCCUUUUCCCAGUUAUUUCGUCAACUAGUUUCCAGUUUCUAUUUCUCCAAAUUUUAGCCGCUUAUUGAAACCGCUUUUCCUCCUUUGGAAUGUUAUUGGUUCACUGCUGUUAUCCCUGCCUAGGAUUUUUACUCCCAACUCUCCUGAUUUGUUGAAAGUUGUGCCUACCCCUGACCUCCCCCCACAUUUAAGUCUUUGUUUGCCCCUUGAUCGGGGUCCCAGGAGAGGAAAAGGGGAAGUUUACCAUCAAAUAAAGUUUCCCUGGGACCCGU